AUAGUACUCAAAUGUUGCCAGCUACGAUCAAGCCCCCUCUGUCUAAACGUUUGCACCUUUCUGGACAAAGAAGUCUAAUAACUGGAGAGAUAAGACAAGAGAAAACAUUGAGCAGUAACUUUUCCACAGGCCAGGUUUCCCCAGAGGCAAAAGACAAGGGUGCUGUAUUUUCUCAACCCUUGUGAUAAGCGCUCCUGGAAGGAAAGAGAGAGAAGGCUGAAUAGCUGGAAAAACCUCCACAACAUGGUAGAGGUGCAUGUAGGUAACAAUUGUUUGGGAGAGUUCCCUCAAGGACUCUGUUGCUAGGUGGCUACAAAAUACAAACAAACAAGAUCGACUACAGAGGAACCGAGUCUCAACACGACUUCUGGGACAAGGAAAUCAAUAAAAUGCCAGCCAGUGAGGUGUUCUGAGAGCCAAGGUAACAGAGAGAUAUCAUACUACACAACUGCCUUCCAGUAUCAAGGUACUGGGAUUAUAUGUUUCUGCAAAUGUCUUUGGAAUUUUUUUAAACCAUCUUUCCCUCAAUUCAAGAGUAUUCAUCUGAACAAUAUUAGAACCAUGAUGGAGAUAAUUAAAAAAGAAAAGGAGGAGGAGAAAGAAGGAAAAGGAGGAGGAGAUUGAAGGAAGAAGGAAGAAGGAGCAGGAGGAGGAAGAGGAAGAAGAGGAGGAGGAGGAGGAGGAGGAGGAGGAGGAGGAGGAGGAGGAGGAGGAGGAGGAGGAGGAAGAGAAAUGAAUGUAUUCAAAAGUCAGCCUACUAAAGAGGUUCUGACGAGACUGUUUUUUCAACAGACUGUAUUCUUUUUGGUUUUAGGCUUUGGCUCCUUGUCAACUUGCACAUAGUCCAAGGCACAUUAAGAUACUUGAAUGAAAGUGUCAAACCAAGUUUGUCCAAAAGAUAACAAAGGAAUAAACAUGGUGCUGUUGCUAACAGCUUGCUUCACAGUGCUUCCUUUAGCUCAUAUACUCAUUAGCUCUAUAUACACCCUGUGAGAGCUCAACAUACCCAGAGUCUGUCAUUUACACACAGACCACGGCUCCCAGCAUCCUUUGUAUACAACAGAGUUUCCAUGAUUACUAGUAAAAAACAUGAGCUUUUUUAAAAAUUGUGGAUUAUGCAAGUAUGUUGAUAACAUUGUCAUUUUGUAUUAUUUUUGGAUGGAUGAAAAUUAUUACUUUUACAUGGAAUAAACCGGAAGCCAUUUACAUUUAAAACACUAUAAUAUAUGUAAUGUCCUUGGUGACCUUUUCUGUAUUCUGUUCUCAGGCCUGUUGUACAAACUCUCUAAUAUACCUCAGAUAGCAUCAUCUUCCAUGUAGAUACCAUAUCCUCAGUCAAGAAUGCAUGAAUGGUUGCCCGUGGACACUGGAACAUCUCCUGGAAAGCACUCUCUGCUGAUGUUUCAUUCUGCAAUUGGUAGUCAGUAUAAAACUCAUUGAAUGAUGCAAAACUAUGAGUGUUUUUCAUGCUCUACAAUGUUGAUAGCAGCCUCAUUCAUAAUAGCCAGAAGCUGAAAACAACCCAGAUGUUUCUUAACUGAGGAAUGAAUAGAGAAAAUGUGGUUUAUUUUCACAAUGGAAUACUAUUCCGCUAUGAAAAAUGAGGACGUCAUGAAUUUUGCAGGCAAAUGAAAGGAACUAGAAAUUUUCAUCCCAAGUAAAGUAACUCAGACACCAAAGGACAUGCAUGGUAUGUAUUCACUGAUAAGUGGAUCAACUUUUAAGAUAGAGUUUUGGUAUAUGGCCUUGAACUUAGGUCUUUCCUGUAUUGGCCUGUCCGGGGUUAGAAUUAUGGGUAAUUACCACCUUAGCUCUUGAUUUUGUUAAUACAGAAUUCACUUUGCCCAGAUAUGAGAUCAAUUCACAUGAUGGUUUUUCAAUAUUAAUGUUUUUGCAAAAUAUGAUAAAUACUUUUUAUGUUCUUACCAAAACUACUACAGAAUACUUUACUAAUAUAUGCCUAAGAGUUUUCAUAAAGAAGAAACUAGCUAUCCUUCUUAUAUGCUUCCUGAUGAUUCUUUAUCACCUCUUCUCUGUGUGUCUGGAUCUGAGAACUUACUGAAAUGCCAGUUCUAACUCAGUAGAUCUAGGAUAGAGAUUGAAUCAACCAAAGAGCAUAUAUGGGCUAGACCUAGCCCCAACCCCCAACAUAUGUAGCAGAUGUGCAACUUGCUCUUCAUACAGGUUCCCCAACAUUACUGGGCAGAGAGUGUUCCUGAAUCUGCUGCCUGCUCAUGGAUCCUGUUCCUCUAACUGGAAUGCCCGGUCGUCUCAGACGGAAAGUAUUGCCUAGUAAUGCAGUGAAGUGAUAUGCCAGGGCAGAUGGGUACACGGUUGGGGGGGGCUCCCCAUUCUCCGAGGAAAAGGGGUUGAAGGAGCUAUGUGUGUGGGUGGGGGGGAAUAUUGUGAAAAGGAAUGGCUGUGAUCUACCAGAAUUUAAAAUGAAUAAAUUAACAGAAAAUGAAAUAAAUGAACUAUUUCAAUGAUGGGUGUUAUUGAGUCUAAUAUAAACAUUGUCGUAUUUUUUUUUUCUUUUUCGGAGCUGGGGACUGAACCCAGGGCCUUGCACUCGCUAGGCAAGCGCUCUACCACUGAGCUAAAUCCCCAACCCCACAUCGUCAUAUUUUUAUACAAUAUGAAUGUUAUUGGACAUUUUACCAUGAUGCAUAUUCAUGUUGAAAAAUGUAGACUUGACUAAAGCCUCCGACACAUAUGUAUCAGAAAGGCAGUUUGUUCUUUAUGUGGGUCCCCCAACAACUGGAGUGUGGGCUGUCCCUGAAUCUGUUGCCUGCCUGUAGAUCCUGUUCCCCUAACUGAGCCACCUUGUCUGGCCUCAGUUGGAGAUGUGACUAAUCCUGCAGUGACUUGAUGUGCUAGAGAGGAGUAAUACCUAGGGUAGACCUCUCCCUUCUCAGAGGAGAAGAAAAGGGUGUUGAAGAAGGAAUUCUGUAAGAGGAACUGGGAGGCUAAUAUUGAGAUAUAAAGUGAAUAAAUAAGUAAA